UGGGGAAUUUUGGACAAUGGGGGAAACCCUGAUCCAGCCAUCCCGCGUGUGCGAUGAAGGCCUUCGGGUUGUAAAGCACUUUUGGCAGGAAAGAAACGUCAUGGGUUAAUACCCCGUGAAACUGACGGUACCUGCAGAAUAAGCACCGGCUAACUACGUGCCAGCAGCCGCGGUAAUACGUAGGGUGCAAGCGUUAAUCGGAAUUACUGGGCGUAAAGCGUGCGCAGGCGGUUCGGAAAGAAAGAUGUGAAAUCCCAGAGCUCAACUUUGGAACUGCAUUUUUAACUACCGGGCUAGAGUGUGUCAGAGGGAGGUGGAAUUCCGCGUGUAGCAGUGAAAUACGUAGAUAUGCGGAGGAACACCGAUGGCGAAGGCAGCCUCCUGGGAUAACACUGACGCUCAUGCACGAAAGCGUGGGGAGCAAACAGG
rnacentral:rRNA from 1 species